GCGGGUUUAGCUCAGUUGGGAGAGCGUCAGACUGAAGAAUUACUUCAUUCUCGUCAAUAUCCAUCAUGGAUCCUUGAUAUCUGAAGGUCAUGUGUUCGAUCCACAUAAACCGCA